UGGUGGGGUUCCCGAGCGGCCAAAGGGAGCAGACUGUAAAUCUGCCGUCAUCGACUUCGAAGGUUCGAAUCCUUCCCCCACCAUC
rnacentral:tRNA from 2 species